AGUUAGUGUUGUAUUUCUGUACAAGUUUCAGGAUAUAUAAGGAGUGAGCUUUUAGAUGUUAAAAAAGGCUCUUUGGACUUCGCUUGACGAGGAGGGCGGGACGGCGUGAGACAGCUAUAUUUAGGGCAUGGGUGGUAACUGGAGCCCCUCAUUUGUACAGCUUGCAGUGACUGGCGUGUAUCCAGGAAGUGCGCUCAGCUACUCGAACAGCCGUCGGAGUCGUGAGCAGGGUCUGGAACGGUCCACGCCACCUUGGUUCGCACCACCUCUUCCUCUGGAAGUCCUUCACCACCACCCAGUCUCCUGGUCUCAGCUGGUGUCCAGGUUCAUCUCGAACGGCUGGUUGUGCUGCUUUCACCUGCUUUGAGACAAAUCACAGUGCCUUAUUCAAUGCAUGCAUUUGCAAACUGCCACAGAUAUGGGCAGCAUGAUGGCGUCCAGAAGAUUUCUGACCAGGGGUCCAUUCUGAAUGGUUUUUCCCGCAGAGGGCCCCUGGGAAACUUCCUUGAUGAGCUCGACACCCUUCUCAGCUCCUUCCCUGAGGAUGGCACCCCACUGAUUCUCCUGGGAGACUUCAACAUCCACCUUGAAGCCUCCUAGGCUUCUGCCUUCCUACCACUACUCCACUCCUUCGACCACUUCUUUGACCUCUCCCUGCAACACUCUCCUCCAACC